CAUAGGCAGUGGCUUGGUUAAGGGAACCCAUCGGAGCCGUAGCGAAAACGAAUCUUCAUAGGAUAAUUGUCACUGCUUAUGGACCCGAACCUGGGUGAUCUAUCCAUGACCAGGACGAAGUUUGGGUAAAACUAAGCGGAGGUCCGAACCUACUGACAAAAAUCUGCUAGAUAAGUAUAUAUUUUUAACUUAAAAUGUAAGG
rnacentral:ncRNA from 1 species